AGUGAACGCUGGCGGUAGGCCCAACACAUGCAAGUCGAACGGCAGCACAGUAAGAGCUUGCUCUUACGGGUGGCGAGUGGCGGACGGGUGAGGAAUACAUCGGAAUCUACUUUUUCGUGGGGGAUAACGUAGGGAAACUUACGCUAAUACCGCAUACGACCUACGGGUGAAAGCAGGGGAUCUUCGGACCUCGCGCGAUUGAAUGAGCCGAUGUCGGAUUAGCUAGUUGGCGGGGUAAAGGCCCACCAAGGCGACGAUCCGUAGCUGGUCUGAGAGGAUGAUCAGCCACACUGGAACUGAGACACGGUCCAGACUCCUACGGGAGGCAGCAGUGGGGAAUAUUGGACAAUGGGCGCAAGCCUGAUCCAGCCAUACCGCGUGGGUGAAGAAGGCCUUCGGGUUGUAAAGCCCUUUUGUUGGGAAAGAAAAGCAGCAGGUUAAUACCCCGCUGUUCUGACGGUACCCAAAGAAUAAGCACCGGCUAACUUCGUG
rnacentral:rRNA from 1 species